AUUUUUGUUUUUUAAUUUUAAUUUUUGGAGAAAAUGAAAGCCAUUUUUUUAAUCAAUUUGUCUUGACCACAGAGCACAGAGUAGCGGGCGAGCCAAAGACAAGUUUAUUGUUUUUUUUUAAAGAAUUAUAACAUAAAGGUUUUAUCAGACAAAGGAUUAAUAAUUAUUACUAUCUAACACACUCCCCUAAUUUUAAUUCCUUUGUCUUUUAUAAUAUGUUGUACAGCGGUUUUACAAACGUUAUUGCUGGAGUAUUCUCCACCCCCAUCACAUCGUAUGACACUGACUUUAAGGUUUGUGUGUCUUUCUACCUCUUGUACAUAUUGUUUUAAGUACAUAAAUACUUCACUUUUGUUAGUUAAUAGGUAAACUUGAGUAUAGUUUGUAUAGUCGUCAAUGCAUGUUAAUACAUAUUUCUUGUUAUUCCAUGUUUCAGGUGAAAUAGGUCCACAUAUGUCUGUAUGUAUUGUAUGUAAUAUUCUUUCAGAUUUUUGUCGAGUAUGAAAUGGAAUUCUGGUUUGUUUUGCUUUCAUACAUAUAUCACAUGUUGAGGUAAGUGUAUCUAUAUCCUUAUUGGUAAUAUUUAUCCCUUCUACUGAUUUAAUAAUAUUUUUUAAUGUUUCUUUUCCAGGAUGACCAUAUCUACGAUGCCAAUCUUCUGCGGUUUCUUUGUCAUAUGAAAUUAAGACAUUUUCUUCAGUAUUUGUGUUAAUAUUUAUGUUAUAUAAACCUUUUUUAUCUUUCUCA